GUGCCUUUACAACUGUCAUGUCUUCUUGGUGAAGUAAUACUCCUUCACCACUAUGUGGCAUUCCUCUUUGUUCCCAAUGAGUUUCUUCCUCUGAAGUCUACUUCAAUAUUUACAGAAUUAUUUCUUCUCGGCCUCAUCAGAUCCCAAAAUCAAAAGAGUCACCUAAAUGGACUGCAAACUUCCAAAACACAUGAGCCAAAAUAAGCUUUCUUCCUCUUAAGAAAGUCUCUUCUCAGGCUAAGGUAUGGGAAGCUUUCUGGAUUCACUAGCCCCAGGAAAUGCAAGUGCUGUUUUCUGGAUGCUUUUCAUUUGUGAGGGAGCUGAACAAGAAUCUAUUACAUUCUAUUGUAAAGGAUGAGGAGUGAUCUCUCAAGAGAAUGGGGUAAAUGUUGGUUUACAUCCACCAGGAUGGAGGACAGAGAAAGAUAAUGAUAAUGUAGAUGAUAAUGUAGACCACUGUGCAGAAUGAGGAUCUCCAUUUAGCCUUUCUUUGGGAAAUAAAGUCAUGCUCAAGGUAAGCUGUUAAUAGAAGUUAUCUCUUCUAAUGUACCUUAUUCUCAGUGUUCCAUGGAAGAUACCUUGGGACAGUGAAACAACACGGACCUUAAAUGCUGUCAUAGCUACUCAUUGCAGUGCAAUAUUGGAAAAGUCAUUUCAUCUCUGUAGGUCUUGAUUCUCCCAAUUCUGAACUGUGAAUAAUUAUCAUGACAUAAAUUUAUAGGAUGACAUGAUAUAAUAAUAUGAAGAUGUGAGAUAAUGUGAAAAUAUCUAGUGUUUGACACUUACUGAGUAGUAAAAAUGGUCUUAUAUUUCCUUUUUAGGUUGCAUUUGUUUUCUUUCUAGGAUUCUUGCUAGUAAGGGAGUGAUGGUAGAAACAGUA